GCGAAGUUAGUAUAGCCUGGCAGUACACCAGCUUCCCAAGCUGGGAGCCGCGGGUUCAAAUCCCGCACUUCGCACCA
rnacentral:tRNA from 4 species